rnacentral:tRNA from 1 species
CCGGCCAUAGCUCAAUUGGUAGAGCAUGUGACUGUAGAAAUUGUAGUUAUCACAGGGUCGCUGGUUCGAUUCCGGCUGGCCGGA